GUUCCAUAAGAUCAAAAAGAGCUCCAGAAACACCAAAAGAGCUCCAAAAAGAGCUCCAAAAAGAGCCUUCAAAAGGACAAAAAGACCUCUAGAAGGUCAUAAAGAGCUCCAAAAACUCAGAGUUCCAUAAGAUCAAAAGGAGCUCCAGAAACACCAAAAGAGCUCCAAAAGUAGCUCCAAAAAGACCUCUAGAAGGUCACAAAGAUCUCCAGAAAAGACAAAAGGAGCUCCAGAAAGGUCAAAAUAUCUCCAAAAUAUCAAAAAGAGCUCCAGAAACACCAAAAGAGCUCCAAAAGGAGCCUCCAAAAGGACAAAAAGACCUCUAGAAGGUCAUAAAGAGCUCCAAAAAGACC